GGAGUGGUUAGUCUACGUUUCGACGUAGUUCUAACC
rnacentral:misc_RNA from 1 species